GACAGAGGGUGCAAACGUUGUUCGGAAUUACUGGGCGUAAAGCGUGUGUAGGCGGUCUCAUAAGUCGGGUGUGAAAGCCCCGGGCUCAACCCGGGAAGUGCACUCGAAACUGCGAGGCUAGAGUACUGGAGAGGUUGGUGGAAUUCUCGGUGUAGAGGUGAAAUUCGUAGAUAUCGAGAGGAACACCGGUGGCGAAGGCGGCCAACUGGACAGAUACUGACGCUGAGACACGAAAGCGUGGGGGAGCAAACAGG
rnacentral:rRNA from 1 species